rnacentral:lncRNA from 1 species
AUGAUCUGGAGAGGUUCACUUCACUUCCAACAUCCUCAUGUGAACACUACGGUCACAAUACUUGAUUCAGUGCGGGCACAGGCCGCCCCAGGACACAGCUGGACGGCAUCUGCAAAGCAUUUGGAUCUGAAGUGGGUGGGUGGGAGGUGCGGCUGUGGUGGGGAGGGUUCCUGGCACCGUGAUUUGGUGGAUAAACAGAAAUGAAAAUCACAUUGCCAGGGAUUUCCACCCCUGCACAGUUCUCCAGGUGCCCCACAUCUACGCCGCCUCCCGCUGGUACGUGUCCAGCUCCUGACUGGGUGUAUUUUGAAGAUCCUGUAACAACAGACAAAGAACCACAGAGAUUUGUCUGAAUUAUUUAUCAUUCAUCAAAAUUUACUUGCUCCACCUAGGAAAUGAUUUUACUUUAAUGAAAAGCAUGAUUAUCUUACUAAUGCUCAUACUUGGGGUUAUGUAUUUAAAAUAAAACCCCUAACCAUAAGAAUUAAUCUUUGGUUGCUUGCUUUUCUAAGGAAUCCAACUUGUUUUUGCCUGGUGGAUGAUAAAAUGUGCAAAAACAUCCCAGGACAAAGCGUGACCAACCAAAAUAGAGCCCCUUUGACUUUGCAAUAGCAAUACCCUGGCAACUCAAGUCAUAUUUAGGAACUACAGUAAAGCUUUUUUUGACUUUGACUACUAAGCAGUCACCAAAAAAACCACAUAGUAAUGUGCUGAAGCCACUAAAGUCACUUUAGCAACUGCAUAGCAACACCCUGGCAACUCGAGUCAUAUUUAACCACCAGAGUAAAGCUCUUUUGACUUUGACCGCCAAGCAGUUACCAUUGCAACCAAAUAACAACAUGCUAAAUGUUGCACAAAACACAUUAGCAACUGCAUAGCAACACCAUGGCAACAUAUUACGUAGAGUUUUGCAAGAAAAAAACACCAUGUCAGAAAAUGUAAAACUCGACUUACAUUAAGGCACCAGAGUUAAGCUCUUUUGACUUUGACCUCUAAGCAAUCAGUAUAGCUAAACACCUUAGCAACACCCCAGCAACAACCAACAACAAGCUUGCAUUGCGAUGGUGAGUUUUGCAAGAAAAAAACACCACUUCAGAAAAUGUAAAACUCUCUUGAGGAACUUGAGUCAUAUUUAGGCACCAAAGUAAAGCUCUUUCGACUUUUGACCAUUAAGCAAUUACCAUAGCAACCACAUAGCAACAUGCUAAAGCGACUAAAACCACACCUUAGCAACCGCAUUGCAAUGCCCUGGCAACCACCAACAACACCCUUGCAUUGUGAUGGUGAGAGUUUUGCACUGACAAACGCCACUCACAUGUUCUUCUGAAAAUGUAAAACUCUCUUUUUAAUGAACAAAAUGUAAAAACUCUCUUUUUUAAUGAACUGCUUACCCUACAAACAUAUUGAGAUUCAGUUUUUUGUUUAUAUAACCCCUUUGGCAUUUAGUUCAUGUGAGUGCAACUGCUUGGUAUGUUUAAUAACACAAACAGUGACUCAUCGCUUUGGAAAUAUCAUGUUUCCUCAGGAAUGACAGAUAAUGGCUUACUGGAAUAUCGGCGAAGGCAAAAGGGCAUUUGGCAAGUUUCAAAAAAUGUAGAUGCAAACCUCAUUUGACACCCACAGCGCUGAUAUCAGAUGAUACGUUAUGAAUGACUGAAAAAUCCUGAAUAAAACAAAGCUGACUGGCCGGCGGUUCUAUAUUAAUAUAAUUAUAUAAAGUUUUUUGUUACAUUUUUAAUUUUAUAUAAUAGGUAACUGUUUUAGUGCACAUUAAUUUAUUAAAAAAGAUUUUUAUAUUAUAUAUUAAAACAAAAACACUUUCCCAACGGCUUCAAGUGUGCCUCAGUCAGAAUAUAUUAUAUAUCAUUCUUGUCCUUUUUCAUUCAAAACUGGUGUUGAGAAUUAUUUGUGUUAAAAUCGCAAUGACCAAGCAGCUCUAAAAUCCCAGCUUAUACACUCAUUCAGUUGCACCCUUUCCAUCUUGAGUUCGUCCAACAGGUAUUCACUUGCUAAAGGCACAGAGCUUAGCUAAUUGGUGAGCACUGAUCCCUUAAGAAUACUGUUCACAGUGGCUAAGUUCAGUGCCUGAAGUGAACUGAAUGACGAUAUGCAUACAGAGAAAUCUGCCUGUGCCGUCGUGGUCAGGUGGUGUCCACCCACUCUCUCUGGCAUCAAAGUAAGACAGGGCAGGAAUUGGACGUAAUGAAGAGUGGGAUGCCAGUAAAUGUGAACCAGUUAUGACAUGUACGACAAAGGAGGGUAAUGUUAAGCUCUUAGCCCUUGCCAGUAAAUGUGAAACCAGUUAUGACAUGUACGCAAAGGAGGGAAUGUUAAGCUCUUAGCCCUUAGCUCAGUUAGCAUCACAUCUGAGAACCAUUAGCCAGAGUGGAUGAAGGUAAAAGUGUCAGGUUUUCAUUUUAUAGCUCAGGUUCGAAUGCAAUGGAAGCGAUGGCACACAAGGUUCACACAAGUCCAGUUAGACCAGUUCUUCUGUGUUAGAAAGCUCACACCAGUCAUUUGAAAGCCGCAAGGUGUGGAUGUUCCAGGAAUACAGGAGCAAUUGUUGCGCUACCAUGAACCUUUAUCCGAAGAUGACGAUAUUUUAAACCUAUGUCAGUUGUGAUUUGAUGUCUGGACUUGACAGGAAUACUGGAACUCAUUACAGAUUUGCAGUUGCGUGUUUAGGCGCAACACAAACCAUGCAACUAGAACGUGGAAUGCGAUUUCUACCGAGGGGGAAACACCACCCCACACAGGAACGCGUUUGUUAAGUGUUCAUUAGUUAUGUUUUAUGAAUUUGGUCCUAAAAAACUUUUUUUAAAGUUAAAAAUUAUAUAUUAUUAUUAAUAAUAUUUGAAAUAUGAAUUAAUAAUACACCAUUUUUUUCCCUUUAUUUUAAAAUGUAUAGAUCACAGUUAAUCUUCAAUUCAACCGCAAUGAAUCAACUCCACUGACAGAACAGCUACAAAUAUCCUUAAAAAAAAUUAUUUUAGGAAUUAUACAUAUGAUUAAAGGGUUACUCCAGGCAAAAAUGAAAAUUUUUGUCAUUAAUCACUUACCCCCAUGUCAUUCCAAACCCAUACAAAGUUCGUUUCGGAACACAAUUUAAGAUAUUUUGGAUGAAAACCUGGAGGCUUGUGACUGUCCCAUAGACUGCCAAGUAAAUAAAGCCCAAUUUAUACUUCCGCGCCGAACCUACGCCGUAGGCUGACGUGCACCUCUCCAAAAUUCUAACAGUGUGUCAAUUCUAUGUGGACUGCAAGCGCUGUCAUUGGUCUGCUAGAAUCCUUCCCUCCGUAUGUACUUGAGGUUUGUAUGUGUUUAUGUGCACUUUAAUAUAUUUGAAUGUUACACCUUCUUAUAUAAAAUGAAACAA